UUUCCUACGGGGGGCAGCAGUGAGGAAUAUUGGUCAAUGUGCGCGAUCCUUAACCAGCCAAGUAUCUUUAAGUAUGACUUCCCUACGGGUUGUAAACUUCUUUUAUAAAGGAAUAAAGUGAGGCACGUGUGCCUUUUUGUAUGUAUUUUAUGAAUAAGGAUCGGCUAACUCCGUGCCAGCAGCCGCGGUAAUACGGAGGAUCCGAGCGUUAUCCGGAUUUAUUGGGUUUAAAGGGAGCGUAGAUGGGUUGUUAAGUCAGUUGUGAAAGUUUGCGGCUCAACCGUAAAAUUGCAAUUGAUACUGGC
rnacentral:rRNA from 1 species